rnacentral:rRNA from 1 species
UACGUAGGGUGCAAGCGUUGUCCGGAAUUACUGGGCGUAAAGAGCUCGUAGGCGGUGUGUCGCGUCGUCUGUGAAAUCCCGUGGCUCAACCACGGGCUUGCAGGCGAUACGGGCAGACUUGAGUAUUGCAGGGGAGACUGGAAUUCCUGGUGUAGCGGUGAAAUGCGCAGAUAUCAGGAGGAACACCGGUGGCGAAGGCGGGUCUCUGGGCAAAUACUGACGCUGAGGAGCGAAAGCAUGGGUAGCAAACAGGAUUAGAUACCCUGGUAGUCCAUGCCGUAAACGGUGGGCGCUAGGUGUGGGUUUCCUUCCACGGGAUCCGUGCCGUAGCUAACGCAUUAAGCGCCCCGCCUGGGGAGUACGGCCGCAAGGCUAAAACUCAAAGGAAUUGACGGGGGCCCGCACAAGCGGCGGAGCAUGUGGAUUAAUUCGAUGCAACGCGAAGAACCUUACCUGGGUUUGACAUACACCGGACGCGUUCAGAGAUGGGCGUUCCGCAAGGUCGGUGUACAGGUGGUGCAUGGCUGUCGUCAGCUUGUGUCGUGAGAUGUUGGGUUAAGUCCCGCAACGAGCGCAACCCUCGUGCCCAGUUGUAUGUUUCUGGGCAGACUGCCGCUGUGAAUGCGGAGGAAGGCGGGGAUGACGUCAAGUCAGCAUGGCUCUUACGCCCUGGGCGACACACACGCUACAAUGGCCGGGACAGAGCGUUGCCAACCCGCAAGGGGGAGCCAAUCGCACAAACCCGGUCUCAGUUCAGAUUGGGGGCUGCAACUCGCCCCCAUGAAGGCGGAGUUGCUAGUAACCGUGGGUCAGCCAUACCGCGGUGAAUGUGUUCCCGGGCCU